rnacentral:snRNA from 1 species
AGGCUUCCUUUGGCAGCAUAUAUACUAAAAUUGGGACGCUGUAAGGAUGAGCACAGCCCCUGUGCAAGUAUAAUACAUACAAACUUGUAAAGCAUUUUGUGUUG